UACGGAAGGCAGCAGUGGGGAAUAUUGCACAAUGGGCGCAAGCCUGAUGCAGCCAUGCCGCGUGUAUGAAAAAGGCCUUCGGGUUGUAAAGUACUUUCAGUCGUGAGGAAGGUGUUAAGGUUAAUAACCUUAGCAAUUGACGUUAGCGACAGAAGAAGCACCGGCUAACUCCGUGCCAGCAGCCGCGGUAAUACGGAGGGUGCGAGCGUUAAUCGGAAUUACUGGGCGUAAAGGGCACGCAGGCGGUUAAUUAAGUUGGAUGUGAAAUCCCCGGGCUUAACCUGGGAAUGGCAUUCAAGACUGGUUAGCUAGAGUCUUGUAGAGGGGGUAGAAUUCCAUGUGUAGCGGUGAAAUGCGUAGAGAUGUGGAGGAAUACCGGUGGCGAAGGCGGCCCCUGGACAAAGACUGACGCUCAUGUGCGAAAGCGUGGGGAGCGAAACAGGGA
rnacentral:rRNA from 1 species